ACUCCUACGGGAGGCAGCAGUGGGGAAUAUUGCACAAUGGGGGAAACCCUGAUGCAGCCAUGCCGCGUGUGUGAAGAAGGCCUUCGGGUUGUAAAGACACUUUCUAGUAGGGAGGAAGGUAGUGUAGUUAACACCUGCAUUAUUUGUACGUUACCUACAGAAGAAGCACCGGCUAACUCCGUGCCAGCAGCCGCGGUAAGUACGGAGGGUGCGAGCGUUAAUCGGAAUUACGUGGGCGUAAAGCGCAUGCAGGCGGCCUGUUAAGUCAGAUGUGAAACGCCCGGGGUCUUAACCUCGGAAUUGCUAUUUGAAACUGGCAGGCUAGAGUCUUGUAGAGGGGUUAGAAUUUCGAGGUGUAGCGGUGAAAUGCGUAGAGAUCUGAAGG
rnacentral:rRNA from 1 species